rnacentral:lncRNA from 1 species
GCAGUUUGGGCUGUCUCUGUGGCUGGUUCUGCGGCGUGCGGCCAGCCAUGGAGCGCUCUGGGCCCAGCGAAGUGACAGGCUCAGACGCAUCGGGACCGGACCCGCAGCUUGCGGUCACCAUGGGCUUCACGGGGUUCGGUAAAAAAGCUCGCACAUUUGACUUGGAAGCAAUGUUUGAACAAACUCGAAGAACAGCUGUGGAAAGAAGUUGCAAAACACUGGUUCAACCCAAUGGAAAUGGAUUGAAAGAGUGAAAGUCACUGGUCUCAAAGAAUCUACGGAAUUUAGCAUUUUGAAAAUCACAUAGCAAUUUUGGGUAGGUAUUCACCUGCACUAAAAAACCAGGCAAACAUCCGACUCCCAGGAUAAAGUGACUGAGAGCAGUAGAAGACUUGUUGAGCCUUAAGGAAUAAGAGGAAAAUUACGUUAUGAAGUGCAGGAACAGCACAGACCCAGACGAGGGGACGCAGCCCGGAGCCAGUAACCCGGCGCCACCUCCUCCCCAGGGCGCAGCGCUGGCUGAUCCCCAGAUACCGUGAUCACACGUCCCGGGUCCUGAGAGCGCCUCAUAGGUAGACAGUUCUUUGGGACUUCUGGGAUGCAGCACUUGAAGAGAGGUUUACCUAAACUUUCCUCCUGGGAGCCUGUGAUCAUUUGAAAGUAACAGAAGAAAGUUGUCAGGCUGAGGAAAGUUUCAACAGGCACUUGGUGAGAAUGGGAAGCAUCCAUUCAUUGUGAAAUCGCGGGGACAGAGGAGGAAUUCACGGGAUCAGAGCACUGAGAAACUCCAGAGGCUUCUGGUUCACCGCCCUGAUUCCACAGAUGUGGGUCAGAGGCAGAGAUGGAAGUUGGAAUGGACAAGCCUGCCCUCUCCUUGGCUCUCCAUGGCUCUGUCCUCAGGCUGUUUCUGCAAUUUGACAUGAGGCCUGGCCCCAGGGAAACCAGUGGGGCCUCAUCUCCUCCCUGUGCUGCUCUGAGGUGGAGCCUUCUCAGGGUCAGUCCAGCUCUGGAGCCCCUCUCCAGCUCGGUCACCAAAGCUGUCUGGUCCCAGGGCGGUGCUGAGUGACAGGCAUGCCAGCCAAUCCAAUCGGCAAUUUCAUAUCCAAUGCAUGUGACUGAUAAAGAGAUAACGCCCUGUCUCCAAGACACAGGCUUUACAUAAACAGCUUUAAUGACUUCUUCACUUAGAGACAAGACUCCUUAGUGGUGGAACCUCAGGCAUCCGUGCAGGACGUAAGAAAGCUGCCGUAUAUACAUGAACUGAGAAGUGUGUAGAAGAAUAAAUACUGUAAUAGGUAAUAAAAU